rnacentral:rRNA from 1 species
GUUUGAUCAUGGCUCAGGACGAACGCUGGCGGCGUGCUUAACACAUGCAAGUCGAGCGAUGAAACACCUUCGGGUGUGAAUUAGCGGCGAACGGGUGAGGAACACGUGAAGAAUCUGCCUUCAACUCUGGGAUAACUCCGGGAAACCGGGGCUAAUACCGGAUAUGAGCCUUGAUCGCAUGAUCGGGGCUGGAAAGUUUUUCGGUUGAAGAUGACUUCGCGGCCUAUCAGCUUGUUGGUGAGGUAAUGGCUCACCAAGGCGACGACGGGUAGCCGGCCUGAGAGGGCGACCGGCCACACUGGGACUGAGACACGGCCCAGACUCCUACGGGAGGCAGCAGUGGGGAAUAUUGGGCAAUGGAGGGAACUCUGACCCAGCGACGCCGCGUGCGGGAUGAAGGCCUUCGGGUUGUAAACCGCUUUCAGCAAGGAAGAAGCGAAAGUGACGGUACUUGCAGAAGAAGCACCGGCUAACUAUGUGCCAGCAGCCGCGGUAAUACAUAGGGUGCAAGCGUUGUCCGGAAUUAUUGGGCGUAAAGAGCUCGUAGGUGGUUCGUCACGUCGGAUGUGAAAAUCUGGGGCUUAACCCCAGACCUGCAUUCGAUACGGGCGAGCUAGAGUGUGGUAGGGGAGACUGGAAUUCCUGGUGUAGCGGUGGAAUGCGCAGAUAUCAGGAGGAACACCAAUGGCGAAGGCAGGUCUCUGGGCCAUUACUGACACUGAGGAGCGAAAGCGUGGGGAGCGAACAGGAUUAGAUACCCUGGUAGUCCACGCCGUAAACGGUGGGCACUAGUUGUGGGAACCUUCCACGGUUUCUGCGACGCAGCUAACGCAUUAAGUGCCCCGCCUGGGGAGUACGAUCGCAAGAUUAAAACUCAAAGGAAUUGACGGGGCCCCGCACAAGCAGCGGAGCAUGCGGCU